GAUGAACGCUGGCGGCGUGCCUAAUACAUGCAAGUCGAGCGAACAGACGAGGAGCUUGCUCCUCUGACGUUAGCGGCGGACGGGUGAGUAACACGUGGAUAACCUACCUAUAAGACUGGGAUAACUUCGGGAAACCGGAGCUAAUACCGGAUAAUAUAUUGAACCGCAUGGUUCAAUAGUGAAAGACGGUUUUGCUGUCACUUAUAGAUGGAUCCGCGCCGCAUUAGCUAGUUGGUAAGGUAACGGCUUACCAAGGCAACGAUGCGUAGCCGACCUGAGAGGGUGAUCGGCCACACUGGAACUGAGACACGGUCCAGACUCCUACGGGAGGCAGCAGUAGGGAAUCUUCCGCAAUGGGCGAAAGCUUGACGGGGCAACGCCGCGUGAGUGAUGAAGGUCUUCGGAUCGUAAAACUCUGUUAUUAGGGAAGAACAAAUGUGUAAGUAGCUAUGCACGUCUUGACGGUACCUAAUCAGAAAGCCACGGCUAACUACGUG
rnacentral:rRNA from 1 species